UGGAUCCAGACUUUGAUUCUGGCUCAGGAUGAACGCUAGCUACAGGCUUAACACAUGCAAGUCGAGGGGCAGCACAAGGUAGCAAUACCGAGGUGGCGACCGGCGCACGGGUGAGUAACACGUAUCCAACCUGCCUUCAACUCAGGGAUAGCCUUUCGAAAGAAAGAUUAAUACCUGAUGGUAUAACAACCCCGCAUGGUGAUGUUAUUAAAGAAAUUCGGUUGAGGAUGGGGAUGCGUUCCAUUAGGCAGUUGGCGGGGUAACGGCCCACCAAACCUACGAUGGAUAGGGGUUCUGAGAGGAAGGUCCCCCACAUUGGAACUGAGACACGGUCCAAACUCCUACGGGAGGCAGCAGUGAGGAAUAUUGGUCAAUGGACGAGAGUCUGAACCAGCCAAGUAGCGUGAAGGAUGACUGCCCUAUGGGUUGUAAACUUCUUUUAUAAGGGAAUAAAGUGGAGUAUGCAUACUCCUUUGUAUGUACCUUAUGAAUAAGGAUCGGCUAACUCCGUGCCAGCAGCCGCGGUAAUACGGAGGAUCCGAGCGUUAUCCGGAUUUAUUGGGUUUAAAGGGAGCGUAGGCGGGCGUUUAAGUCAGUUGUGAAAGUUUGCGGCUCAACCGUAAAAUCGCAGUUGAUACUGGAUGCCUUGAGUGCGGCAGAGGCAGGCGGAAUUCGUGGUGUAGCGGUGAAAUGCUUAGAUAUCACGAAGAACUCCGAUUGCGAAGGCAGCUUGCUGGACCGUAACUGACGCUGAUGCUCGAAAGUGCGGGUAUCAAACGGGAUUAGAUACCCUGUAGUCCGCACAGUAAACGAUGAAUGCUCGCUGUUUGCGAUAUAGUGUAAGCGGCCAAGCGAAAGCGUUAAGCAUUCCACCUGGGGAGUACGCCGGCAACGGUGCAACUCAAAGGAAUUGACGGA
rnacentral:rRNA from 1 species